AGUCGAGCGGACAGAUGGGAGCUUGCUCCCUGAUGUUAGCGGCGGACGGGAGAGUAACACGUGGGUAACCUGCCUGUAAGACUGGGAUAACUCCGGGAAACCGGGGCUAAUACCGGAUGGUUGUUUGAACCGCAUGGUUCAAACAUAAAAGGUGGCUUCGGCUACCACUUACAGAUGGACCCGCGGCGCAUUAGCUAGUUGGUGAGGUAACGGCUCACCAAGGCAACGAUGCGUAGCCGACCUGAGAGGGUGAUCGGCCACACUGGGACUGAGACACGGCCCAGACUCCUACGGGAGGCAGCAGUAGGGAAUCUUCCGCAAUGGACGAAAGUCUGACGGAGCAACGCCGCGUGAGUGAUGAAGGUUUUCGGAUCGUAAAGCUCUGUUGUUAGGGAAGAACAAGUACCGUACGAAUUGGGUGGUACCUUGACGGUACCUAACCAAAAAGCCACGGUUAACUACGGGCCACCAGCCCCGGUAAUACUUAGGUGGCAAGCGUUGUCCGAAAUUAUUGGGCGUAAGGGGGUCGCAGGCGGUUUCUUAAUCUUGAUGUGAAAGCCCCCGGCUCAACCGGGAAGGGUCAUUGGAAACUGGGGAACUUGAUUGCAAAAAAGGAGAGUGGAAUUCCACGUGUAGCGGUGAAUUGCUUACAGAUGUGAAGGAACACCAUGUGGCAAAGGCGACUCUCUGGUCUGUAACUGACGCUGAGGACCGAAACCGUGGGGAGCGACCAGGAUUACAUACCUGGUUAUUCCACUCCGUAAACAAUGAUUGCUAACUGUUGGGGGGUUUCCCCCCCUUUACUGCUGCAGCUAACGCAUUAAGCACUCGACCGUGCGCGAGUACGGUCGCAAGACUGAACUCAAGAGAUUUGACGGGGCCGGCACACCCGGUGAAGCAUGGAGUUUAGUUCAAGCUAGCGCGAAAACCUUUACCAGGUCUUGACGUCCUCUGACAAUCCUAGGAGAUAGGGCUUCCCCUUCGGGGAGGCGACGUGACAGGGUGGGUGCAUGGAUUGCGUUCGCCUCGGUCGUGAAAUGUUGGGAUCAGUCCGCUACCGAGCGCACCCGUUGGACUACUGGCAGCAUUCACUUGGCACUAUAUGGCGACUUGCGGGUACAACGGAGCAGGUGCGGGAUG
rnacentral:rRNA from 1 species